rnacentral:rRNA from 1 species
GUCAGCUCGUGUCGUGAGAUGUUGGGUUAAGUCCCGCAACGAGCGCAACCCUUGAAUUUAGUUGCCAGCACUUCGGGUGGGCACUCUAGAUUGACUGCCGGUGACAAACCGGAGGAAGGCGGGGAUGACGUCAAAUCAUCAUGCCCCUUAUGACCUGGGCUACACACGUACUACAAUGGCCGGUACAACGGGCAGCGAAGGAGCGAUCCGGAGCCAAUCCUAUAAAGCCGGUCUCAGUUCGGAUUGCAGGCUGCAACUCGCCUGCAUGAAGUCGGAAUUGCUAGUAAUCGCGGAUCAGCAUGCCGCGGU